UUGAACGCUGGCGGCAUGCCUUACACAUGCAAGUCGAACGGCAGCGCGGACUUCGGUCUGGCGGCGAGUGGCGAACGGGUGAGUAACAUAUUGGAACGUGCCAGGAAGUGGGGGAUAACUAGUCGAAAGAUUAGCUAAUACCGCAUACGCCCCGAGGGGGAAAGUGGGGGAUCGCAAGACCUCACGCUUGCUGAGCGGCCGAUAUCUGAUUAGCUAGUUGGUAGGGUAAAAGCCUACCAAGGCGACGAUCAGUAGCUGGUCUGCGAGGACGACCAGCCACACUGGGACUGAGACACGGCCCAGACUCCUACGGGAGGCAGCAGUGGGGAAUUUUGGACAAUGGGGGCAACCCUGAUCCAGCAAUGCCGCGUGAGUGAAGAAGGCCUUCGGGUUGUAAAGCUCUUUUGUCCGGGAAGAAAUCCCAUCUGUUAAUACCGGGUGGGGAUGACGGUACUGGAAGAAUAAGCACCGGCUAACUACGU
rnacentral:rRNA from 1 species